rnacentral:rRNA from 1 species
CACCUGAGCGUCAGUCUUUGUCCAGGGGGCCGCCUUCGCCACCGGUAUUCCUCCAGAUCUCUACGCAUUUCACCGCUACACCUGGAAUUCUACCCCCCUCUACAAGACUCUAGCCUGCCAGUUUCGAAUGCAGUUCCCAGGUUAAGCCCGGGGAUUUCACAUCCGACUUGACAGACCGCCUGCGUGCGCUUUACGCCCAGUAAUUCCGAUUAACGCUUGCACCCUCCGUAUUACCGCGGCUGCUGGCACGGAGUUAGCCGGUGCUUCUUCUGCGGGUAACGUCAAUCGGUGAAGCUAUUAACUCCACCGCCUUCCUCCCCGCUGAAAGUACUUUACAACCCGAAGGCCUUCUUCAUACACGCGGCAUGGCUGCAUCAGGCUUGCGCCCAUUGUGCAAUAUUCCCCACUGCUGCCUCCCGUAGGAGUCUGGACCGUGUCUCAGUUCCAGUGUGGCUGGUCAUCCUCUCAGACCAGCUAGGGAUCGUCGCCUAGGUGAGCCAUUACCCCACCUACUAGCUAAUCCCAUCUGGGCACAUCCGAUGGUGUGAGGCCCGAAGGUCCCCCACUUUGGUCUUGCGACGUUAUGCGGUAUUAGCUACCGUUUCCAGUAGUUAUCCCCCUCCAUCGGGCAGUUUCCCAGACAUUACUCACCCGUCCGCCACUCGUCACCCGAGAGCAAGCUCUCUGUGCUACCGUUCGACUUGCAUGUGUUAGGCCUGCCGCCAGCGUUCAAU